UACGAAGGGGGCUAGCGUUGUUCGGAAUUACUGGGCGUAAAGCGCGCGCAGGCGGCCAUUCAAGUCAGGGGUGAAAGCCCAGAGCUCAACUCUGGAACUGCCCUUGAAACUGUAUAGCUUGAGUAUGAGAGAGGUGAGUGGAAUUCCCAGUGUAGAGGUGAAAUUCGUAGAUAUUGGGAAGAACACCAGUGGCGAAGGCGGCUCUCUGGCUCAUUACUGACGCUCAGGCGCGACAGCGUGGGGAUCAAACAGG
rnacentral:rRNA from 1 species